rnacentral:tRNA from 1 species
GGUUCAGUAGCUCAGUUGGAUAGAGCAACAGCCUUCUAAGCUGUGGGUCUUGGGUUCGAAUCCCAACUGAAUCACUA